rnacentral:rRNA from 1 species
GAUGAACGCUAGCUACAGGCUUAACACAUGCAAGUCGAGGGGCAGCACUAGGUAGCAAUACUGAGGUGGCGACCGGCGCACGGGUGCGUAACGCGUAUCCAACCUUCCCGUUACUCAGGGAUAGCCUUCCGAAAGGGAGAUUAAUACCUGAUGGUGUUUGAAUUCCGCAUGUUAUUCAAACUAAAGAUUUAUCGGUAACGGAUGGGGAUGCGUGACAUUAGGUAGAUGGCGGGGUAACGGCCCACCAUGCCUACGAUGUCUAGGGGUUCUGAGAGGAAGGUCCCCCACACUGGAACUGAGACACGGUCCAGACUCCUACGGGAGGCAGCAGUGAGGAAUAUUGGUCAAUGGUCGGAAGACUGAACCAGCCAAGUAGCGUGAAGGAUGAAGGUUCUAUGGAUUGUAAACUUCUUUUAUACGGGAAUAAAACGUCCCACGUGUGGGAUCUUGUAUGUACCGUAUGAAUAAGCAUCGGCUAACUCCGUGCCAGCAGCCGCAGUAAGAC